UUGUGAUGCUACGAGCCAGUGCGUAGCCCCAGGCUGUGCCUGGCACCCAGCCUCGGAAGGCCAGCAUCCUCCUGUGGCCUGUGCACCCCACAUGCGCACACAGUCCACACAGGUCCCCGCCCUUGUGAUUAGUGUGCUCUGUGCAGGGCAGGAGCUGGCCUCAUGGAACAGCAGCACGAAGGUGCCUUGAGGAGGGAGGGGUGUCAGCUGGGGAGGGCAUGCAUCCUCCGGGCAGGGGCGGUGGCUGGAGCCUGCCAUGUGAGGUGGGAGGAGGCGGCACCUGCGUAGUGUAGCUGGGUGUUUGCUCCUGUCCUUCCGCCUGCACCAUCUACAGAUGCUCACCUCUCGGAUGGCCCCCAGCCCUGCCCAAAGUAGUCGCUGCCUCUGUGAGGCCAAGAAGUCAUUUCUGACCAGGAGACUUGACAAUGCUGCUAGCAGGGUGGUUUUCUACCUUUAAUUGGGGAUACAAAAGGAACAGAGGAAGGAUGGAGGGCAAGGCAGCGGAGGGGCAGUGGGGCCCCAG
rnacentral:lncRNA from 10 species